GAGGGUAUAGCUCAGUGGUAGAGCACAGUCUUGGCGUGCACAAGGUCCUGGGUUCGAUCCCUAGUGCCCCCG
rnacentral:tRNA from 1 species